CGGCAUGGCUCCGCGGCACUAUUGUUGCUGAUCACCUCCUUCAGCUUUGACUGGAGAAAAACCGUUUGGGUUCGGAGGAGAAAAGGCCUGUUUGGAGAGGAAGGAAGUUUCUCGCUGGGGUCCUGAUAUGACUGCGGGACGCAACAGAGGACGGAGAGGACACGCUGCUUGAAGCUUUUUCUCACACAAAAAAAAGAAAAGUUCAUUACAUUUUAGGAGCUUUUUGACUCACAGUUUACAAACAGGCAGUAAAUGCUCCUUCAUGAACAUUUGUUUUGCCAUUGUGCUGCGACCAAUCUUUUAUUCUGGAAGCUAAUCAUUAUUUAGCAUGUUAGUGCUAAAUUGGUCUGUUUCCUGUUUCAACAGAUUGUAGUUUAUUGACUUCUGAUUCAUGAGAUCUCUCUAAGAGGGAAUUGACGAUAUGAGCUCAUGUUGGUUCUGGUAGUCACCUAAAAUCCACAUGUAUCAGUAGGGUUUAAUCUAUGAAUCAAUGGAUCAAUUUAGAAGUGAUAGUUUUAAUUAAAUACAUGAUGUGUCUAAAUUGUGUUUUUUUUUGUGGUGAAGGCCAAGGGUAGCUGAUCCCCCAUAUUUGUGAAGACAUGUGCAAGUUGUGUUCUCAACUUAACACAAUGUAAUUACUCCGAAUUGUUUUGUUUAUAGCGAUGGCAUCUGAUGUUGAUUAAAAGCCAGACACAUUUCCACAAA